CCAAUAGCGUAUAUUAAAGUUGUUGCAGUUAAAAAGCUCGUAGUUGAAUUUCGGGAUUAGUACGUUGGUCGUGCCUUAGGUACGUACUGGUGUUACUGGUUCCUACCUUCUGACGAACCAUCAUGUCAUUAAUUUGGUGUGGCGGGGAAUCAGGACUGUUACUUUGAAAAAAUUAGAGUGUUUAAAGCAGGCCCGCGCUUGAAUACAUUAGCAUGGCAUAAUGAAAUAGGACGUUGAUCCUAUUUUGUUGGUUUCUAGGAUUGACGUAAUGAUUAAUAGGGAUAGUUGGGGGCAUUAGUAUUCAAUUGUCAGAGGUGAAAUUCUUGGAUUUAUUGAAGACUAACUACUGCGAAAGCAUUUGCCAAGGAUGUUUCCAUUAAUCAAGAACGAAAGUUAGGGGAUCGAAGACGAUCAGAUACCGUCGUAGUCUUAACCAUAAACUAUGCCGACUAGGGAUCGGAUGAUGUUAAUUUUUUAAUGACUCAUUCGGCGCCUUACG
rnacentral:rRNA from 1 species